rnacentral:rRNA from 1 species
GGUUAAGUUAGAAAGGGCGCACGGUGAAUGCCUUGGCACUAGGAGCCGAUGAAGGACGGACUAACACCGAUAUGCUUCGGGGAGCUGUAAGUGAGCUUUGAUCCGGAGAUUUCCGAAUGGGGAAACCCACUGUUCGUAAUGGAACAGUAUCUUUAUCUGAAUACAUAGGAUAUUGAAGGCAGACCCGGGGAACUGAAACAUCUAAGUACCCGGAGGAAGAGAAAGCAAAUGCGAUUUCCUGAGUAGCGGCGAGCGAAACGGAAUUAGCCCAAACCAAGAGGCUUGCCUCUUGGGGUUGUAGGACACUCUAUACGGAGUUACAAAGGAACGAAGUAAAUGAAGCGACCUGGAAAGGUCCGUCGAAGAAGGUAACAACCCUGUAGUUGAAACUUCGUUCCCUCUUGAGUGGAUCCUGAGUACGGCGGAACACGUGAAAUUCCGUCGGAAGCUGGGAGGACCAUCUCCCAAGGCUAAAUACUACCUAGUGACCGAUAGUGAACCAGUACCGUGAGGGAAAGGUGAAAAGCACCCCGGAAGGGGAGUGAAAGAGAUCCUGAAACCGUGUGCCUACAAGUAGUCAGAGCCCGUUAACGGGUGAUGGCGUGCCUUUUGUAGAAUGAACCGGCGAGUUACGAUCCCAUGCAAGGUUAAGCUGAUAAGGCGGAGCCGUAGCGAAAGCGAGUCUGAAUAGGGCGUUUAGUAUGUGGUUGUAGACCCGAAACCAGGUGAUCUACCCAUGUCCAGGGUGAAGUUCAGGUAACACUGAAUGGAGGCCCGAACCCACGCACGUUGAAAAGUGCGGGGAUGAGGUGUGGGUAGCGGAGAAAUUCCAAUCGAACCUGGAGAUAGCUGGUUCUCUCCGAAAUAGCUUUAGGGCUAGCCUCAUGUUGUGAGAGUCUUGGAGGUAGAGCACUGAUUGGACUAGGGGCCCCCAACGGGUUACCGAAUUCAGUCAAACUCCGAAUGCCAAAGACUUAUCCAUGGGAGUCAGACUGCGAGUGAUAAGAUCCGUAGUCAAAAGGGAAACAGCCCAGACCACCAGCUAAGGUCCCCAAGUAUACGUUAAGUGGAAAAGGAUGUGGAGUUGCUUAGACAACCAGGAUGUUGGCUUAGAAGCAGCCACCAUUUAAAGAGUGCGUAAUAGCUCACUGGUCGAGUGACUCUGCGCCGAAAAUGUACCGGGGCUAAACGUAUCACCGAAGCUGUGGAUUGACAUCUUAGAUGUCAGUGGUAGGAGAGCGUUCUAAGUGCAGCGAAGUCAGACCGUAAGGACUGGUGGAGCGCUUAGAAGUGAGAAUGCCGGUAUGAGUAGCGAAAGACAAGUGAGAAUCUUGUCCACCGAAUGCCUAAGGUUUCCUGAGGAAGGCUCGUCCGCUCAGGGUUAGUCGGGACCUAAGCCGAGGCUGAAAAGCGUAGGCGAUGGCCAACAGGUUGAUAUUCCUGUACCACCUCCCCGCCGUUUGAGUAAUGGGGGGACGCAGUAGGAUAGGGUAAGCGCGCUGCUGGAUAUGCGCGUUCAAGCAGUUAGGCUGAUGAGUAGGCAAAUCCGCUCAUCAUAAAGGCUGAGCUGUGAUGACGAGGGAAUUAUAGUACCGAAGUUCCUGAUUCCACACUGCCAAGAAAAGCCUCUAGCGAGGCGGGAGGUGCCCGUACCGCAAACCGACACAGGUAGGCGAGGAGAGAAUCCUAAGGUGAUCGAGAGAACUCUCGUUAAGGAACUCGGCAAAAUGACCCCGUAACUUCGGGAGAAGGGGUGCUCUGGUAGGGUGUAUAGCCCGAGAGAGCCGCAGUGAAUAGGCCCAGGCGACUGUUUAGCAAAAACACAGGUCUCUGCGAAGCCGCAAGGCGAAGUAUAGGGGCUGACGCCUGCCCGGUGCUGGAAGGUUAAGAGGAGGGGUUAUCCUUUGGGAGAAGCUCUGAAUCGAAGCCCCAGUAAACGGCGGCCGUAACUAUAACGGUCCUAAGGUAGCGAAAUUCCUUGUCGGGUAAGUUCCGACCCGCACGAAAGGCGUAACGAUCUGGGCACUGUCUCAACGAGAGACUCGGUGAAAUUAUAGUACCUGUGAAGAUGCAGGUUACCCGCGACAGGACGGAAAGACCCCGUGGAGCUUUACUGUAGCCUGAUAUUGAAUUUUGGUACAGCUUGUACAGGAUAGGUAGGAGCCUGAGAAGCCGGAGCGCUAGCUUCGGUGGAGGCGUCGGUGGGAUACUACCCUGGCUGUAUUGAAAUUCUAACCCGCGGCCCUGAUCGGGCCGGGAGACAGUGUCAGGUGGGCAGUUUGACUGGGGCGGUCGCCUCCUAAAAUGUAACGGAGGCGCCCAAAGGUUCCCUCAGAAUGGUUGGAAAUCAUUCGUAGAGUGUAAAGGCACAAGGGAGCUUGACUGCGAGACCUACAAGUCGAGCAGGGACGAAAGUCGGGCUUAGUGAUCCGGUGGUUCCGCAUGGAAGGGCCAUCGCUCAACGGAUAAAAGCUACCCCGGGGAUAACAGGCUUAUCUCCCCCAAGAGUCCACAUCGACGGGGAGGUUUGGCACCUCGAUGUCGGCUCAUCGCAUCCUGGGGCUGUAGUCGGUCCCAAGGGUUGGGCUGUUCGCCCAUUAAAGCGGUACGCGAGCUGGGUUCAGAACGUCGUGAGACAGUUCGGUCCCUAUCCGUCGUGGGCGUAGGAAAUUUGAGAGGAGCUGUCCUUAGUACGAGAGGACCGGGAUGGACACACCGCUGGUGUACCAGUUGUCUUGCCAAAGGCAUCGCUGGGUAGCUAUGUGUGGACGGGAUAAGUGCUGAAAGCAUCUAAGCAUGAAGCCCCCCUCAAGAUGAGAUUUCCCAUAGCGCAAGCUAGUAAGAUCCCUGAAAGAUGAUCAGGUUGAUAGGUCAGAGGUGGAAGCGUGGCGACAUGUGUAGCUGACUGAUACUAAUCGAUCGAGGACUUAACCAA